rnacentral:rRNA from 1 species
AGAGUUUGAUCCUGGCUCAGGACGAACGCUGGCGGCGUGCCUAACACAUGCAAGUCAAGGCGGUAGCAAUACCGACUGGCGCACGGGUGCGGAACACGUAGGUAAUCUACCCAUCAGGGGAGAACAACUCAUCGAAAGGUGAGCUAAAUCUCCGUAACAUCUGACUAUGGCAUCAUAGUUUGAUCAAGCUUUCUGAUGGAUGAGCCUGCGUCUGAUUAGCUAGUUGGUAGUGUAAUGGACUACCAAGGCUACGAUCAGUAGCUGGUCUGAGAGGAUGAUCAGCCACAUUGGGACUGAGACACGGCCCAGACUCCUACGGGAGGCAGCAGUGAGGAAUAUUGCUCAAUGGACGAAAGUCUGAAGCAGCAACGCCGCGUGAGGGAUGAAGGUGCUCUGCAUUGUAAACCUCUGUAGUCGGGGACAAAAAAUAGGUUACUACCUAUCUGAUGGUACCCGAAAAGUAAGGAUCGGCUAACUACGUGCCAGCAGCCGCGGUAAUACGUAGGAUCCAAGCGUUGUCCGGAUUUACUGGGUGUAAAGGGUGCGCAGGCGGACUUGUUAGUCAGAGGUGAAAUCUCACAGCUUAACUGUGAAACUGCCUUUGAUACUGCAAGUCUUGAAUCCAGAAGAGAGUUGUGGAAUUCCGAGUGUAGCAGUGAAAUGUGUAGAUAUUCGGAAGAACACCAGCGGCGAAGGCAGCAACUUGGUCUGGUAUUGACGCUCAGGCACGAAAGCAUGGGGAUCAAACAGGAUUAGAUACCCUGGUAGUCCAUGCCCUAAACGAUGAUCACUUGAUGUCGGCCCUCAGGGUCGGUGUCGUAGCUAACGCGUUAAGUGAUCCACCUGGGGAGUACGCUCGCAAGGGUGAAACUCAAAGGAAUUGACGGGGGCCCGCACAAGCAGUGGAGCAUGUGGUUUAAUUCGAUGCCACGCGAAGAACCUUACCUAGGCUUGAAAGGCUCUCUAAACCGGUGAAAGCCGGCUACCCGCAAGGGGGGGAGUACAGGUGCUGCAUGGCUGUCGUCAGCUCGUGCCGUGAGGUGUUUGGUUAAGUCCAGCAACGAGCGCAACCCCUGGAUCUAGUUACCAGCGAAUAAUGUCGGGAACUCUAGAUCGACUGCCUACGCAAGUAGUGAGGAAGGUGGGGACGACGUCAAGUCAUCAUGGCCCUUACGCCUAGGGCUACACACGUGCUACAAUGGCGUCUACAACGCGCUGCAAUACCGUGAGGUGGAGCGAAUCGCUAAAAAGACGUCUCAGUUCAGAUCGGAGUCUGCAACUCGACUCCGUGAAGUUGGAAUUGCUAGUAAUCGCAGGUCAGCACACUGCGGUGAAUACGUUCCCGGGCCUUGUACACACCGCCCGUCACGCCAUGAAAGCCGGGAGUACCCAAAGCCGCCUAAUAAGCGUCUAAGGUAAGACCGGUGAUUGGGGCGAAGUCGUAACAAGGUAGCCGUACCGGAAGGUGCGGCUG